ACUGAAAGGAGGAUUUAUUAGUGAUUAUUCUGGGACAAAGGCAAAUACUAGGAUCGUCGUCGCAGACCCCCUGGAAUCUGGGGCCACCUUAGCCAUGGGAGCCUGAUGGAGAAUGGAGUGGGGAGGCCUGGACUUCACAGGCCCCAGGGUCCUGCUUUCAGAUGACCUCUUAUGGCAGGACCAAGAGCAGUAGCACCAACUUUGAAACUUCCACCUGGGCAAGUGACCGAUGGGAGAAGGCUCAAUGGAAUUGUCUAGGGAGAGGUCAUGAGAUUAUCUUCACCAGAGAUGUUACAGCAGGUGCUGACAGCUGAGCCAUUCCACGCACCUUGGGGGCACAGAACUGCCGGAAACCAGGGCCAAGUUCAGAGCCUGAAAAUUCUUUCAAAGGCUACAAGGAGAAACCUGGAGGGCCGAUGGCGCGUUACAUAAGCCGUCUGUGCGCAACGUUUACGCAGAAGCACUUGUGGAGUGUUGCAACAUGACUCCACAUCUUUAUCAAAAAUGUGAAACAUCCACCCAGCACACACUUAAAAAGCACUAAAGCGCUUCUCCGCCAGAUCCAUUCCUGCCUCCGUUACGUUUUCUUCGGGCUUUCUGAAAUAACCAAAAGGGUAAACCAUACAGUGUAAACCGUGCCUCGGCGACGUCGACCAGACCACAGAUGACGGAGUUAGGAAAGGCCAUGAGCUUUCCAAGAACCAAGACAAAAAGGACCACAUGCCAGAGUAAUCAUGAGAGGCUGAAGCAGUCAAGAAAUUCUUCAGAGGUGUGGGGCAUGGAUGAGACCCCGGCUGCUUCCCCCAGACUCCAUCUCACUCCCCACAAAGACUGUUGGCUCCUUACCCAGUAUUCAUUCUGCAUUUCUUCCUUGGUAAAACAACUCCAACGUGGCAAUGUGCCUGGCUAAAAGCCCACAUUUCCUUGUCUCCCUUGCAGUAGGGGUGGCUAAUGAGAUCUAAGGAGGUGUUGCUGAGUGGUCAGGGUUGCCAGAUAAAAUACAAGAUGCCCAGUUACAUUUGAAUUUCAGUUAACAGUAAAAAUUUGUAAUUGUAAGAAUACAUAUAACUAUGUCAUAUGUAAAAUAUUUGUAUUUGUAUUUGCCAAAUCUGGCAACUCUAUGCACAAAGCUUCUAAGGAGCCAGGUAGACACUCCUUUUCUCUCUUUCUCUUUUUUCCUGGGACAUGGAUGGGAUAGCUGGGGCUUCAGCAACCAUCUUGGGUCAUGAGGUUAAGGAUGGCAGAGCAUACAUACAGAGGACUUGGGUCCCUAAUGACUAUAUAACUUCAGGCUUUUUUAUAUGGAAGAAUAACCAUUAAUUUGCUUUAGCUGCUAGAUGCGUCUCUGUGAUUUGCAUUCAAUUGUUAUUCCUAACUUAUAGCCAUAAUAAAGAGUGCAUUGUUAUUUUGGGUAUUUGA